rnacentral:lncRNA from 1 species
GAAAGGAAAGAAACAGAAUAGAAGAGACGAAACAGGGGAGAAAGAGGGGAGAAAGAAGAAAAAGAAGAAAAAAAGGGAAAAUAGGGUUUUUGAAGCUUGAAAUUUAAAUUGGUAAGUCAAAUUAGCCCUUUUCUCUUAAUUCUAAUGUUCUAAAAGCUUUAAAACAAAGUUUUGAUGGAAUUAAGUUGAUAUUUUGUAAGUUCAUAGGUUUUCAAGUAUAGUUUAUGUUGAACAAAAGAGAUGAAUUAGGGAUUAACUUGAAGGAAUUUUAAGUUAGAAUUGAAAAAGGGAUUAAAUUGUAAAAGAAACUAUAAGUUUUAUGUUUUAGGGACUAAAUUGAGGGAAAUUCGAAAUUACCAAAAUAUGCUGAAAUUUUGAUAGUUAAAUUUUAGUUUGGAUGAAAUUUGAAUAGAAAUAGAGUGUGAAUUGAAUUAGGAAAGUAAGUGAAUUUAGUUAGGAUUAAAUUGAGAAUAAGGAAGAAAUUGAAUAGAAAUUUAAUUAUUAUCAUAAUUAGUGCUGAAAUUAAUAGUAUAAAUUAUUAUCAUUUUCGUAGCUAGCAAAGAACCAGAAGCGUCGGCACGGAAGGGAAAAUAGAAGAUUAUCGAGGAGUAAACUCGAGAAAAUUACGGUUUGUAUUACUAUAAUUCAAAUUAUUUAUUUUUAAAUGUUAAAUUUUAAUUUAUGUGUCUAGUAAAUGAAAUGUGAGGUAAGUAUUAGUAUUAUUAUUAGUAUUAUUAUUAUUAUUAUGAGUGAGAAUUAAAUUGAAUAGUUGAUAUGAAAUAAUAUUUGAAUUGUUUGUUGAUUAAAAGCGGGAAAUGAAUUUGAAUCGAAUUGUGAAUGGUAUUAAAUUGUAUGGAAAUGUAUUGAGUUGUGAAAAUGUGUGAAGUUGUGAAAUAAUUAUUGAUUGAAAGGUGGAAAAAUGAUUGAAUUGAAAAUGUGAAAAAUUGUAAUUGAAUUGAGAAUAUAUGUGAUUUAAAUACCCUAUUAACUAGUCGGGCUGAGUCGGAUAUAGUUGGCAUGCCAUAGGAUUGGAAGAGUUCAGGGAUACUUCGACCUCGAGUCGAUGAGACACUGGGUGUCACUAUAUUUCUUCGGAUAGAUUCGAUGAGGUACUGGGUACCAACUUUCUUCGGCUUUGCCGAUGAGACACUGGGUGUCAACUAUUGCUUCGAACUAUCCGAUGAGGCACUGGGUGCCAUUCUGGUGUGUUUGGUUGGAUCCGUGUAUCCGCCAAAGUCCGAGUUUUGUUAAUAGGGUAAAUGAUGAAAUGAUAAACCGAAUGAGUUGGUCAAACGAGCUAUUGAAAUGAUAUGAGAAAGUUGAAUUGUGAAUUGAAAUGUGAAAUGAGAUUGAGAAAUGAACCUAAGGUUCGUGAAUUAUUCAAACUCAAAUUGUGGAUAUACGAUAUUGGUUGAUGAAUUGCUAUUGUUGAAAUAUUUAAUUUAAAUUGUAUAUACGAUUUAUGCAUUACAUGUACAUUAUUGUUAUAAUUUGAAUUAUGGUAAUACCACUGAGUAUGAAUUACUCAGCGUACGGUUGUUUCCGUGCGCAGGUCAAUAGAAGUCAAAGGUCCCGGUUCAGCAUCCAGAUUAAUCCCGGCUUCGGCAAAACUUGGUGAUGUAUUUUUCCUUUGGUAAAGGUGGCAUGUACAUAGAUUGUGUAUAAAGGUUAUUAUGUUUUAUUAUAUAAUGGUUAAAAAUGUUAGUAUUAAAAGUUUAUGGAUUUUAAUGAAAGAAGUCUAUCUAUUUUAUCUAAUUAGUACAUUGUUAAAUUUUAAAUUGAUAUUGUGUAGAUUGAGUUUGAUUAGAAGUAUUUAGAAUAGAAAAUGUGAAUGUGAAAUGAAUUGGUUGAAUUGGUGAUAUUUGGGAACUAUAUGGUUUUAAUUUACAGGGGGUUUUAUGUAAAA